rnacentral:rRNA from 1 species
CACCGGCGGCCCGAGUGGUAGCCGCUAUUAUUGGGUUUAAAGGGCCCGUAGCCGGCCUAUUAAGUCUCUUGGGAAAUCUGGCGGCUUAAUCGUCAGGCGUCCAAGAGAUACUGGUAGGCUUGGGACCGGGAGAGGUGGGAGGUACUCCAGGGGUAGGGGUGAAAUCUCGUAAUCCUUGGGGGACCACCGAUGGCGAAGGCAUCCCACCAGAACGGGUCCGACGGUGAGGGACGAAAGCUGGGGGC